AAGUGAGUGUAAUUACCUUGCGCUGAAUUUCUCUAUGCAUGUUUAAUUCAGAUAACAUUGUUUUAAGUGUGCAAAAGGUUCUGAGUAUUGGACAUCGUGUGCAAAAACAUUCAGAAUAGGUAAAUGUUGUACAGUAGCCACCCGGUUGAAAACAUUUUAUUCGACAGCCACCAGACGAACAGUGUGCUAGUGCCCGUGUCAGGUCGAGGUAUCUCCCUGCAAGUGGCUUUAAGAGAGCAAUACAUUCCCCGCCGCAGUUCAUCCCCCGUCAUUGUCUACGGACCGAUCGCACGCACGUUGCCGAUUGUGAUUGAAAUCACCAGCAGCAGUAGCAGUAUUCAAAUAAGCAACCAACAACAACAGCAGCAGCGACAGUAGCAGCUUUGGUCCUAGCAAUAAAAGACGUCGUACAAAGACUGAUGAUCACCCUACAAAACAAGUUAGUUCAGUACGAUAUGAGGAGAUUACAAAAGCAAUUUGCAAAAUGAUUGCAACAGAUAUGCAACCAAUACCGAUUGUGGAAGAUAUUGGUUUCAUAGAGCUAAUAAAAGUUCUGGAGGCAGGCUACACGAUUCCGUGUAUCAUAAGCUACGUGGCAUUGGCAUCGGAUGCUUGGACAUUUAAUGCAAACGAUAGCUACUUGACAGUAUCAGCACAUUUCCUGAAUGAGGACUGGAUACCCCAAAAACUAACGCUCGGAACGUUCGGACGUUCGGACGUUCGGAACGACAUACAGCUGAUAAACUUUGUAGUGAUAUCAAGGAGGUUAUGAAUGACUGGAACAUUACAGAGAAGGUUGUUGCUAUUGUUCAUGACAAUGCGUCGAAUUUCAUUAAGGCAAUUGAGGAUCUCGAUUCGGCAAGACAGACUAUAUUUAGGCAACGAUGUGCUGCACAUACUUUCCAACUAGCCAUCAAUAACGGUGUAGGUAUAGAAGAAUGCAGUGUGUUGAUUAGAAAAUGCAGUGAAGUUGUAGUGCCUUUCGACAUUCGUCUAUCAGAACAACUGCGUUAGAAUCGUACUUGAGUGCUCUCGAUUUACCAGAAACGUUUCAACGUUUUUCAUGUUGGAGCGUCUCUCAGAGCUCCGUGCAGGAAUUACAACUGCGCUAGCGGAUCGAAAAAUAUUUAAUUUCCACAUAGCUGCAAAGUUAGAGUUAUGUGAGCAUGAUUGGGUUUCGAUUCAAUUGCUUGUUGAGCUUUUACGUCCACUUCAACAAGCAACGACAGUGUUAUGCUCAGACACAGCAAUUACUAUAAGUUUGGUUCGACCCAUAAUGUACAGCCUAGUCACCCGACAUCUAAAAAUAAGAAACCAAGACAAUGCCAUGAUAAUGGAUGUUAAGUCCCGAAUCAGUCGUGAAAUUUUAAGGAGAUUUAACAUGGAAGAUUCGCAUGACGAAACCGCAUGCUUGUAACAGCUGACUUGCUUCUUUGAUCCUCGCAGAAGGAUCAUCUGCAAGGGACAGGAUACGCGAGAAAGCAAAAAUACUAGUGGAGAGUAGAAAUCAACCCAGUAAUACGGACGCUGAUGGUGCCAGCAAAAUGAGCGUACUGGACUUCCUUUUAGGGGACUCAGAAGAGGAAGGUGGAGAAGAGUUAGAUAGGUAUGUGGCAGAACCACAAAUAGAUCGCAAUCUAGAUACAGCCUUGUGGUGUAGAGAACAUGAAAAAUGUUACCCCACACUAGCCGAUGUCGCGAGAGGCAUUCUCGGCGUGCCUGCAACAUCUGCCAGUGCCGAAAGGGAUUUUUCCUGUGCUGGUUACAUUGUAUCGUCUAGACAAAAUUGUUUAAAUCCCGAUACUGUGAAUUGUUUUG